rnacentral:lncRNA from 1 species
AGAGCCGACCUAGCAUUAGGGCACGGGUGACGAGGGCCGCUUAAGCAUUUUGGUCCGCCGUUGAGGACCAAAAUGGAGUUAUUGGCUAGUUAGCUCAUCAGACCCGGUUCGUGACAUUUUGGUAUCAGAGCCGACCUAGCAUUAGGGCAGGGUGAGAGGGCUGCAGUAGGAAAGGGCUACCCGUGGAUGGAGUCAGAGAACUCGUCACGGCGUGGAGCCACCACUGAGGACGUCAAGCUAAUUGGGUUGGGGAUAAUGUAAUAUCCCAUUAGUCCCACAUCGGAAGUGGGGAAUGUGUAUGAUUAGCUUAUAAGGGCCUGAUGAGUAUACCACGUUACCUCCGGCUUAAGCAUUUUGGUCCGCCGUUGAGGACCAAAAUGGAGUUAUUGGCCAGUUAGCUCAUCAGACCCGGGUCGUGACAUUUUUGGAUAAUGUAAUAUCCCAUUAGUCCCACAUCGGAAGUGGGGAAUGUGUGUGAUUAGCUUAUAAGGGCCUGAUGAGUGUACUACGUUACCUCCCGCUUAAGCAUUUUGGUCCGC